CCUACGGGAGGCAGCAGUGGGGAAUAUUGCACAAUGGGGGAAACCCUGAUGCAGCGACGCCGCGUGAGUGAAGAAGUCAUUCGUUAUGUAAAGCUCUAUCAGCAGGGAAGAAAGUGACGGUACCUGUGAAAGCAGCCCCUGCUAACUACGUGCCAGCAGCCGCGGUAAUACGUAGGGGGCAAGCGUUAUACGGAUUUACUGGGUGUAAAGGGAGCGUAGACGGCAGUGCAAGUCUGGAGUGAAAGGCGGGGGCUCAACCCGCGGACUGCACUGGAAACUGUCCGGCUGGAGUGCAGGAGAGGUAAGUGGAAUUCCAGGUGUAGCGGUGAAAUGCGUAGAUAUCAGGAGGAACACCAGUGGCGAAGGCGGCUUACUGGAC
rnacentral:rRNA from 1 species